rnacentral:rRNA from 1 species
AGCGAACGCUGGCGGCAGGCCUAACACAUGCAAGUCGAACGAACUCUUCGGAGUUAGUGGCGGACGGGUGAGUAACACGUGGGAACGUGCCUUUAGGUUCGGAAUAACUCAGGGAAACUUGUGCUAAUACCGAAUGUGCCCUUCGGGGGAAAGAUUUAUCGCCUUUAGAGCGGCCCGCGUCUGAUUAGCGAGUUGGUGAGGUAAAGGCUCACCAAGGCGACGAUCAGUAGCUGGUCUGAGAGGAUGAUCAGCCACAUUGGGACUGAGACCCGGCCCAAACUCCUACGGGAGGCAGCAGUGGGGAAUCUUGCGCAAUGGGCGAAAGCCUGACGCAGCCAUGCCGCGUGAAUGAUGAAGGUCUUAGGAUUGUAAAAUUCUUUCACCGGGGACGAUAAUGACGGUACCCGGAGAAGAAGCCCCGGCUAACUUCGUG